AUGCCCUUAACUGACAACAAAUUUGACCAUAGAUCUAUGACCCUCGUGAAAUUUGAAAUGUUUCCGUUUAUCUUAGACCAAGCAGCUAGAUACGAGAUGUAUCUUCUGGCUCUACUUUGGAGAUUCAUCAUGUAACACAACAGUCACAAACAGCCUACCUUGCUAAUACAGGUAGCUGACAAUUUGGCUACAAUUUAUUUACAAUGAGGAUGAUGUGUUUUCUAUUUUACAUAUAAGGUUAAGUCUUAAGUGGAUGGCAGCAUAAAACACCAAAUGUAAAUAGUCAAAGUUACAUUUACAAACGAGGAAAUGCGAAAUGGAGCGUAAGGCUCGAAAAGAAUAAAGUAAGAAUUUAUUUUACUACUCUUUUUGCAGAUUUGAUAAA